UUACAAGAAGGUGCCAUUCAU
rnacentral:miRNA from 1 species